UCUUUAAUUUACUUGCUAUCCUUUCCAGAGAUUUCCAUCUUUAUUUCCUCUCAAUCCGAAUGUCGUGGUCUAUACUUCUCCAUAGCUUGGCUAACGUGUUCUAGAAUCCCUCCCACCAGGUAACAGCUUUCUCUCCUCUUUAGAGCCUCCUUCACAAUAACAUGAGCAUAAAUAUUCAUUGUUUUAGGGAUAAAAUGAAACCCCAUCUCUUGAAAUCUGUCUUUUGUGCUUUGAAUGUCUUUAAUAAUUGCCCCAAUGGUCGAUUUGUCAAUCUUGGAACUUUGGCAUUUCUUUAUAAAAGUUUUUGAGUCACCCUUUACAUCCAUUUUAUUUAAUCCCAUGAAGAUUCCUAAUUUCACUGUUUGUAACUCUGCUUGAGCCUCUGCCAUGAACGGAGUAACUAUUUCAGAAUGAGUGACCAUUUUCGAUGCUAAGAUAUCCCCCUUUUCGUUUCGUGCAAGCAAGCCCGAAACCGAUCUGGAAUGUUGUUGGUCAUAAGCUGCAUCAAAAUAAACUAUAACCCUUGCUCUGCAAACAUUCUGUUGAAAAUUUUCAUUGGACUGGGCUUUGAGAUUUAACUUUGAAUCUGUUUUGCUAUGUCUCUUCAUGUCGCAGUUCUCCUUUCAUAUACUAACCUAUUCCUGUUGAACCAAAUCAACCAGAGUCCACAACAGAAAAAUCGAAUCUGUUCACUAGUCCCCUGUUCGAAAACCUAGGUAAGCCACUCCCACGUAUUCUGAGUAUUGUUAUUCAGUACCCAAGACAGAUUUAAGUGAUUCCAAGUCUCGACUGUUGUAAGACACUAUCAAAAAAUGUGGUUACUGUUCUCCUCAUCUUGACGACAUCGAGGGCAUUGUGCGUCCACCACCACUUUCCUUUGCUUGAGGUUAACAAGGGAAUGAAUAAAAUUCCAAGAGAUUCUACAAACUGUCAAUGUAACUAUUGAGGGGAUGUGUAAUUUCCAUAGUUUCUUAUAGAAAUUUUUUAUUUCGGUUUGUAUAAAGUAAUUAUUAGGAUCCACGCUAAACUCCUGUAAUAGUUUAUAGGCGCUUCUGAUUGAGAACUCACCGGACAGUUCACCUCUUCAUAUUUGUAAAUCUUCGUAUGCUGUCUCUACCAGUGGAAUCUGCAUGAUUUUCCUUGCAAAAUCCAUACUAAAGGUAUUCAUAAUAACAUCUGUUUUCCAAGUUCUAGUAGUGGCCUCUAUUAGAUCCGAAACUAACCUGAUAUUUUCAUUAUUUUCAUGGUUUUGUAAUCUGUCUGCUUCAUCCCCUGAUAUCCACAAAUCAUCCCAGAAGAAAAUAUAGUUCCCUUUUUCAACUCUCUAGCAUAUUGCAUAUUCCUUUCUCUAGAAUCCCUCUUACUGCCCAGACACCCUUCCAGGUAAACGAAGGUAACGUUCCUAACCGAGCAUUAUAAAAAUCUGAGUUAGGAUAAUAUAUUGCAUUCAAAACACGAGCUAAUAACGAAUUUGGAAAAUUAAUAAGGAGCUAACCCUGCUUUACUAACAACGCCACAUUAAAAUUUUCAAGAUUCCAAAAACCAAGUCCCCCAUCUUCCUUCAAUGAGCAUAGUUCUUUCCAAGCACACCAAUGAAUGCCUUUUUUUGUCUUGACCUUUCUGCCACCAAAAUUUGGCUAUAAUGCCCUCCAAUUCAACACAUAGAGGCUUAGGAAGAAGAAAGCAAGCCAUAGUAUAAGUAGGGAUGGAUUGAAGAACUGCUUUUAUGAAAACUUCUUUCCCCCCUUGAGAGAGGUGCUUUAUGCUCUAAUUGUCGAUUCAUUUUUUAAAACUGUCCUUCAAAACUUGAAAUGACGAUCUCUUUUUUCUUCCCACCAUAUUAGAAGCCUUAAGUAUUGUUCUGGAUCUGUUGACCUUUUUACUCCAAGUACAUUAGAGACUGUUAUCAUUUCCCUAUCUUGUGUAUUUGUGCUAAAAAACACUGUUGACUUGUCAUAAUUAAUACACUGGCCAGAACACUUUUCAUAUUCAUUCAAAAUUUGUUUUAAAGAAUGCGCUCCUUCUUUAGUAGCUUCUAUGAAUAAAAUGCAAUCAUCUGCAAAGAGUAAAUGUGAGACAGAUGGCCCACUUCGGCUAGUUUUUACUAUUUUGAUUAUUCUUCCUCCAAUUGCAAUCCUCAUAAGACUUGAGAGGCCUUCCCCGCAGAAUAAAAACAAAAAUGGACUUAGAGGAUCUCUUUGUCUUAAACCUCUACUGGGAUGAAACACUUCCCCUAGCUUUCCAUUGAACACCACUGAGUACGAUACUGUAGACACACAUUUCAUAAUCGAAUCAACCCCUUUUGGAUCAAAACCUAUUUUCUUCAUUGUCAUCUCCACAAACUUCUAUUCAACUCUAUCGUAUGCCUUACUCAUGUCUAAUUUCACUGCCAUAAACCCUUUUUUCCCAGUCUUCUUGUGUUUCAGAGUAUGUAAAAUUUCAUAAGCUAGUAACACAUUAUCAGAAAUUAACCUCCCUGGUACGAAAGCACUCUGUGCUAAAUCUAUACAUUUAUUAAUUACUACCCGAAGUCGACUUGCUAUGACCUUAGCUAUCAAUUUAUAUAAAUCACAUUACAUAAGCUAAUUGGUCUAAAUUAAGUAAUAUUGGAAGGAUUUAAAAUCUUGGGUAUUAGCACAAUAUUUUUUUUGUUGAUCGAACUCAUUUCCAUACCUUCAUUCAGUCUUUGAAGACAAAAAUCUGAAACCUCAUCUCCCUGAUGAUCAACCAAUAUUUUUGGUAGAAAAAUGUCGGAAAGCCAUUGUCUCCUAGUGCUUUAGUGAGACCCAACUCCAUUAAAUCUUCUCGUAUCUCCUCGUUAGUGUAUCUUUUUUUAGCCGAUAAUUGUCAUCUUUAGUAAUACAACAUUUCAUUCCUGAUAAAAUUCGAUCAUAUAAUUUAAGUGGUCUUUCUAUUCCAUCCACUGUUUGCAACAAAGUGAAGAUAUUUCAAAUCCAUAUUCCAUUAUUAGAUGCCUCAUAAUAGGCUGUAAAUGUAACACUCCAAAGCCGGCCUAGAAGUUUAAGCAGAAUUUAGAAAAGUUGCAUCAACGUAUUGAAAACUAAUUUCAGUAAGUAUUCAUAAAACAUUCAAAUCCUUACUUGAUUUGUAGCUGAAAUCUUUUUAGAGUUUUAACUUUGAAAACCAAAAAUCCAUUUUAGUCGACUUAAGUGAUUUUGUAGUUUCUUGUUAGAAAUUGUCAAUUAUUGACGUGGUUAGCAAAAAGCAAGGCGAGUUCAGAUACAGAUUUCAAACCUAAAAGAUCAAAUCAUAGUUACAUCAGUGCAAAAACAAUUCGAGCUCCCAUAUGCUGUUCGAUCCUAAGUCAGAUGUUUACCUAAAUAGAUAAGGAUAAGACAAAGAGGUGAGCUACAAAGCACAAUAUAUAACCAAACGCAAAUACAAAUAAAUAGAUCACAACAUAUAAAUCAUAGUAAUACAAAGAACUCAAUAGCGACCAUAUAACUAGCAUAGAACAAAUCCAGAGUAUCACAGAGAUUACAACAAUGGUAGUACAACAUAACAGAACAGAGCAGAACAAAGCAGAGCAGAAUAGAACAAAGUAGAACAAAACAACAAAUAUAUGUCUAUGUCGUUACAGUAUUUUUUUCAAAACCAAUCAGAGUGUAGAUUUAUCAGAAAACAUCCUACCCAACUCCGCUACACACCAAAAUAGAGUUCCCUAGAACUCGUACAACCAAAUCACACCAAUAGAUAACUAUGGACAGUGCUACCUAAAUUUGCAAUUAAAAAUGCUAGAUCAGAUACAUGUGGUCAAGCCACAAUAUUGCAGUCAAGUUGCCAAAACUGGAUUGUGGAUAAACCACCAGAUAAUACAAAUCAUUAAACUGCCAGAAACUUCCUCCUUUCAUGUCAUCCCAAAUCCCCUGCAAUAUGUCAUAGCAAGCAUAUAAAGAGUCAUAUUAAUAAGCAUGUAGGUCAUGUUAUCGUACAAUAACAAAAUCAGUAGGCAUGGGAGUCCAUGUUUUGUAAAACAGAUUUAUCAAACCUCUAUAGAUCACAUCAGAUUGCCAUAAAGACACAUGCAUUGUUAUAAAUCAGAAUCAAUACCAAUCAAUUCAACAUAUUUGGAUAUCACAUAUUCUUAAUCAACAGAGUAACACAUGAGCAUACCAUCAGACUUAAUAGAAUACAGAUCGUACCUGGAUAAUUCACAUACCUCAACGCAUCCAAACAGGGGUACAUUAUACAUUAGCAAUCAUCUUUACUUAUCUUAAAUCAAAAUAGAUAUACGUACAAAUAGCAGAUUAUUCACUAACAGAUCAACAAUUCUUGAGUUUUGUAACUUAAUACAAAUCAUACAGACCCUACGGAAGGCCUACCUUCGAUCCAGACGACGUUCACGACCCUAGGGAAUAUUUCAGAAUUUUGACCCAUACGCUCGUAUGGAUCCACACAACUUGGGUGUCUGGCCCGUGUGGUUCACACAGCCUAACACACACCUGAGUGAACCUUUCAAAGACUCACACGGCCAGUCACAAAGCCUCACACACGGCCAUCUGGUCCUAAACAAUGAGUUACAGGCUUGGACACACGUCCGUGUCCCUAGUCCGUGUAACCUUAAAUAAUGCCUCACACGGUCUACCAUACUACCUGACACAUGGCUGUGUUACGCACACGGCCUAACACUCGACCGUGUGGCGUCAAAAGCCAUGUUUUCUGGCAUUCAUAAAUUGUAGAAAUUUGGAUUUUUGUUACCUACAUGUUAUGGAUUUGAUGCAGAAGCAACAAGGAUGAAUUCUCGUCCCCUAAAAUGACAUUAUAACGAAAAAUUGGAUGACUUAUUCAUAAACAAAACGAUAAGAUUAGCAUCCAAAACUGAAGUUAUGUCGAAGAACUAUCGACACAUAACCUUAAAUCGAAACUUACCAGCAACUGAAUUGAACCAGGUAAGAGAAGUCAAACCUUGUCCAGAAUCAAUUUGAUGUAAGUUAGCAAAAAUAAAGGUAAUUCGAAAAGAAGAAAUCAAAAUGAAGAAAAAGAAAGAACAAAUGAGGAAUGGCAGAAAAGAUAUGGAAGAAGAAAAAAAGAAAAGAAAAAAAAAGGUGAAACCACACAAGAGGUUUCUGGGAAGUUUAAUUAACUAACAAAAAUAACUACCACACGGAACAAUUCAAAAUGAAACAUUUCCCUAUUGCUUUCACAAUAAUUCAAACACAAGACCAAAGGGUACACAAAAGCUUAACCAUUGAACCACUAGGGUCAUUGUUGUCAACAAUUGAUCGAAAUUAACUUAUAACUCACAUGUCCAAAGAUAGGGUUUUAAUUAAAAAUAGAAAAAUUUCAAGAGACAGGAAUCGAACCUCGAACCUCACAUUCAUAACUGGAACACUUAACCACUAAACCAAAUCAAUUUACUUAUAAAAAAAUUUCCAAAAUCUAGACUCAAAAUCGAGAGACAACCACUCUUGAUUUCAAAACUCAAUUUCUUUUAACCCGGUUUUUGGGAUGUCACAGUAAAUUUAGUUGCCAUAGUGGAAUGAGCUAUGAGUGUAUGUGUAACACUCUACUAAAAGAUACUCAUCCAGUAAACAAAUAAACAUAACUUGAUGUAGAUUUCAAAUAAUCUUAAUAUCCAAAAAAAUUGAAUUUUGUAUACUAAAAACUUUCUAACUUAUUAGAACUCAUUUAUGUGAGAAUUGACCAAAAUCCUUUCUGGGUAAAAAUUACGAUUUUACAUUUUUUAUGCUACUUAGCACAAUUUCUUCCCAAAAUUAAAAACUUGGUUCAAUCUAUGUCAUAACUUAUAAUAAAACUUUAUUAAAAAUAUUUUGGUGGUAAAACUUGGACUUUUACCCAUUUUCAGGUAAAAAUGAGAAAUUUUUAAUUUAGUCCCUAUAUUUUUUAAUCUUUUUCAGUUUGGUCCCAAAUGUAAUUUUCAUUAUACCAAUACAUAUUUUAACUUAUACUCACGCCUAUUAAUCAAUAUUAACUUAAUUUUCACAUUUUGGGCAAAUUACACUUCAAUCCUCAAACUUUUUAAAAUUUGUGAUUUGGUCUUUUCAUCACAUUCUCACUUGUAAAAUUCUUUUCAUUAAUUUUCAUAUCCAAAAUCACUUUAUUAUCAUAAUAUUUCUUUUUAUCUGAUGAAUUUUUUAAUUUUCUUGAAAAUUCACUAUAUAUAUUAUCGAAAUAGUGUCACAUGUCUAGUCGAAAAUUUUGGGAUGUUAUAAUCUAAUUUACUAAUGUUAAGUAUAAAAUUCUUUAGUUUUACCAAUAUUUUAAGUUUGUGUCUUUUAAAAUUGCAUCUGAUUUCCUUAUUUACACAUUUUACUUAGUUUUUAACUAAUUCAUUUUACUUGUUUUUUGCCUAAGAAAGAUUGAGAAAAUACUCGAAACGAAAGGAGAUCUAAAUUAAUGCAUGAUAUUAUUGGUUUAGAUACUUUGUGAGAUCAAGGAGCUUCGAACUAAUGUUGGAUAGGAUUUUAGUUCGUUUAGUUCUUAUCCUCGCAGUUUUGGUAUCAAACACAGAGUUGCAUACCCUCACUCUUUGAAAUAGAAAUGGGUUAUUGGAUCGUAAACACAAAAAAAUUGUUGCAUGUGGUUUAACUUUCUUAGCAUAGGCCUCCCUACCAUUACCUCAUUGGUAUGAUGCAUUUUCCACUAAAACAUUAAGUAGGAUGUCUCCUUUUGAAUGUUUACACAAGAGGAAACUAGAUUUCAAGUUUCUGAAUUUAUUUAGCUACAUAUGUUCUACUUCUCUCACUCCCUAUAACAAGAAUAAGUUGGCUUAUAUGUCUACCCAUAUACGUUCUUCGGUUAUAGUGAGCAUCAUUAUAGUUAGAAGUUUAUGGAUUCCUCUAGUUGAAUAUACAUCUCUCAACACAUUUGAUUUCAAAAGCGUAUGUUUCCAUUUUAUGCCACUAAAGAUGUUACCAGACUGUUCUCUAAUUCUUGUCCUAUGGUCACUACAUAGCUUCCACUUGUUUCAUCAUCCACUAUUUCUACAUUUGAGACUUUUUUUACCAAACAAGUUUAUCGUUCUCCUGAUAGUACACUCAAACUCUAGUCUUUCAAUUUCUUCUAUGGUUGGUGACUUCUCUUAUCUUUCUAGUGGCUCAAUUUCUCCCUUGGUUUAUAAUAUCCCUAAUGCUUUGUCUGUGGCUAGUAAUCAUCAUCAUAUGAUUAACUAUACCAAGUCUUGUAUAUUUAAGCCAAAAGAUUUCUUAGCAACUAAAAAUUUUGACGAACCACCUAAUGGGCACAUCACUAUGCAACAUCAACAAUGGCACUCUAUGGCUUGUACCAAGCCCCACAAGCUUAGUUUCAAAACUUCACACUUUUUUUCUUACUAAUCUUGGAUUUAAAGCUUCAAUUGUUAACCUUUCUUCCUUUUUUUUUUCUUCUAAAAACAACAACUUAUUAUGUGUUAUUGUUUGCCUAUGUCAAUGCCAUAAUUGUUACUGGUGAUAGUUUUAAAGAUGUUGAAUUGGCUAUUCAACAUCUUAAUCAUAAGUUUUGUCUUAAGGAUCUUGGAUAACUUAAUUACUUUUUGGGCAUUGAUGUAACACCCCAAAAUAUAUAGGGUUAGAUGAAUUAAUUAACUAAGAAAUGAGCCUUAAUUUUGAUGGUUAAGAGCUUAGUAUAUUACCUAGAAAACCAAGGUUUAAGCCACACUCUUCCCAUUUUUUUUCUUUUUUUAGCAACCAAGGUACAAAAUCAUACUAGGAUAUAUAUUAGUUUUGGUAAAAAUAUAUCAAGUGUGGGUAAGAGCCCAAAUGGUAAGGCCUUUGUAUAGUUCUCUUUGCUUUUAGGGUUCAAAUCACUCUACUUACCCUUUAUUUCCCUUUUAUUUACAGAAAAAAGGGGAAAUUUGUCAACCAACCCCUCCAAAUUUGAAACCCUAGAUAUUGAACUUCUUUUCUAAUUACAAUAGAACUAUAACUUUUUUCUCCAAAUAAGAUUGAAUUUUUACUCUUCUUUUUCUUAUUUAUUUUCCUUAUUUUUCUUCAUCUUUUUCUUUGUAAUUAUUUCCUUUACAUUUUUGAAAUUAUUUUUGCAAUCCUGAAUCUAAAAUUGGUCAUAAUUCAACCGUUUUCCUUAUUAAUUUAAUGAAAAAUUGAUAAUCUCAUCUUUAAUCCUAGUGAAGAAUUGGUAAGUACGUUUUAAUUCUGAUACUUGAUCUCAAAAUUCUACAAAAUACCCGCCUAUUGAUAAUCUUGCAAUCGUUAAAACAAUCUUUCCCAGUUUUUAUCAAAUCUUUCAUUAACCUUAGAAAAUGUUGAAAAUCAUUAUUAAUUCUCGUGUAUUUUCCUGUUGAAAGACUCAUUGUAGGUAUCCCGAAUCAGAUUUGGACGUG
rnacentral:lncRNA from 1 species